GCAGCCGCCGCGGGAAUACGUAGGUGGCAAGCGUUGUCCGGAAUUAUUGGGCGUAAAGCGCGCGCAGGCGGAUAGGUCAGUCUGUCUUAAAGGUUCGGGGCUUAACCCCGUGAUGGGAUGGAAACUGCCAAUCUAGAGUAUCGGAGAGGAAAGUGGAGUUCCUAGUGUAGCGGUGAAAUGCGUAGAUAUUAGGAAGAACACCAGCGGCGAAGGCGACUUUCUGGACGAGAACUGACGCUGAGGCGCGAAAGCCAGGGGAGCGAACGGGAUUAGAGACCCCUGUAGUCCCUGUCUCUUAUACA
rnacentral:rRNA from 1 species